UGUCCUUCCUUGUUCUGGCUACCAUCAAGAGCUUAUAGUACAAAUUGGUUAAAGAAAGUAGAAGCCAGCAUCUUUCCAGCUCAUCUUAGCUGGCAAAAUUGCUUCCCCAUCAUAAAGACAAAAUAGUACACGCUUUGCAAGAAGAGUUAUUUUACCUUUCAUCACCUUUUUCAUUACCUAUUUUUACCUACACCAAACCCUAAACCCUAUUUUCACCGCAGCCUCCCACCACUGCCUUCUUUGAAACGCCGUCCACCGUUACCUGUCAAGAAACUGCAGUGCGCCACCUCGCUUAGAACGGAGACAAUGUUCCGUCGCUGUUCCACGCCGCACUACUGCCUCUCCUCCAUGCCGCACCACUGCCUCUCUUCCACGCCGCACCGCUGCAUCUCCAUCUCCCCUGAAGCCCGCGAAGUGUCGUCCCUACCUCCGCCCCUGCUCCCCACAGCGACACCGUGCCUCUGUUCCCAACCGCCGCGCGUUCAGUCUUCACUCCACUGCCGCCGCGCCGUCUUCGCUCUACUGCUGCCGCGCCGUCUUCGCUCUACUGCUGCCGCGCCGUCGUCACUCCACUACCGCCGCGUCCGUCGUCUCUCCGUCACACUCGCGUCGCCAUCGCACCGUCACACUCGCGUCGCCGUCGCUCCCUCACACUCGCAUCGCCGUUGCGCUGUCACACUCGCGUCUCCGUCGCUCUGUCCUUCGAAUUCAGUGCCAUCUUUCAAACUUCACGGAUGAACCACAACUGAGUUCAACUUCUCAUUGUUGCAUCAUGAAGAGGCUCUUCUGCUGAUUUGGCGAGCCAGGAAACAGUUCAGAAGGUCCUUGACAUAGUCAAGAAGCAAUUGGCACUGCCAGAGGGUUCAAGUGUAACUGGAGAGUCCAAGUUUGCUGCCCUUGCAGCUGAUUCUCUUUACACAGAUUGAAUUUUUGCAAUUGAAUAUGGCCAAUGUGCUUUUGGAGAAAGGGAGGAUCAACACAGUGCACGUGCUUUUGGAGAAAGGGAUUGAUUUGAAUGCAGAGGAUGAAGAAGGGUAUGCUAAUAUCAUGCACAAAUACAUGAAAAAUUCAUAGAGAAGCUUUUGUGCUGAUGUGGCUGAGGUUUUGGUGGAGAAAGGUGCUGAUGUUGAAGCCAGGAGUAAGAAGGGUAUCACUGCUUUUGUGCUAAUGUGGUUCAAUCUUUCUUUCCAAGAUAAAUACCUUUAUUUAAAGCAUCCUUCUCUUGAGAUUGAAGAUUUUUGUUCAUUCCUGAUAAUAGAGAUUGAAGAUUUUUCCCUUAAUGAUUUGUCGAUACCAUGCAUUCAAAAGAUGAGGCAUUGGUUUAUUUCAUGUUAGAUUGUUAUCUAGUAACUCAUAUUUUUGGAUAUGCUUAUAUAAUCAUUGAUGUG